rnacentral:sRNA from 1 species
UGUGGGAUGCCGAAGUCGGGUCCCGCCACGCAACACUCGCUGAUUAAUCGGGAGACGAACGAUGACU